UCAUUUAAGGUGUCAAGAAAAUUAUCUCUGCAUCCCUUCCUGAGGUGAUAUGUACCCAGUCAAUAUGGGGAUAAUUGAAAUCCCCCAUUAUCGAGGUUUUUUUAGUAGCAGGAAAUUGUCUGAUAAAUGGCAGAAUAGUUGGUGGGGACCGCUAGAGAAAAGACCAAGGAAAAUGGAGAACUUUGAUCAAUAACUAAAAGCUUUUUUCUUGAAAUUCCUGUGUUGUACAUUAGGCGGCAGUGCUACUGCACAAAACUUCCUUAUUUUCCGAUGCCUUGAGAGUUUUUCCUGCAAGCUUGUUGUAACACAAAGCAGCCUUUUGUAAGAUGUUUGAUCUUUGUGUCUACAAAUUAUUGUGAUAUAUAAAGCUGACGAGUAUAAAUUCUUGCAGCUGCCCUAGGAAACAGCCGAGACCCAGCAAAUCUUUUAAAAGCUGUUAUCUCCUUUGCUUAGGUGCAGGUAAACAAGCAGUUUUCUCUGUCCCUCAAUGUUAACUACUGAGGCUGGUCAGGAGUUGCUGUGAGAGACAAGAUAGGUGAGGUAAUAUCUCUCUCACAUAUCCUGUGCCCAACAUGGCUACAACACCCCCGCAAGCUAGGAGCUGCUGUGUCGUAUGACAGGGGACUGAAAUCUCUAUGACAAUACAUCAGCUUAAUAGCAAAUACUGCCCUAGAGAUAACUAUAUCUGAAUAGCCUUAAGCCCCAAUCCUGCAACAUCUUGCACAUGGUAGGACUGCUGUGGCAGCACUGAGCCCCUGUCACUGAAGACGGUGGGUCUCUACAUGGACACAGUAGUCUGUUCCCAUGCAAGAAGUUGCAUGAGUGAGGCCUUUGUGGUCAAAGUGUGAUGCAGGGAUUUUGGGGCUUUAUUAGUGGGGCUUACUCCUUGCCUAGGCUGGCCUGGCUCUGUGGCAGCAUAUCAGGCUUGAAGACUGUUGAUAGAUUUGGUUGGCUUGGACCUUCAAUUAAAUCGUUUUAGAUUAUCACGGACUUCACUUUCAGAUCUUGUAGGUUUUCUUGAGGCUAGAUUUUCUUUUUCUCCUGCAGGUGGUGCAGUCUCAGACAAAGUCAAACAGUUGUUUUUAUCAUUUGUUUAUUCAUAUUAUAGGCGGAGCUGGCAGUGCUGCCUACAGUUAAGAUUGCCAAGUGUUAUCUUGUUUUCACGUUGCUUAAAACUUAGCCAAAUUUUAACGGUUUAGACUGAUAUUUUCCAUGCUGAGUGUCUGCCCCAGACUGAAUGUUUUUGGAAAGCUUCAGCAAAAAUGGUUUGCCAUUAUCAGGAACAAGGGUUUGAAUAGUGCACUGCAACCGAGGUGGGGGGAUGUCACACAUUGAACAAUGAGGAUAAAGCAAAAUAUUGAAUAGCUGCUCAAUAUGGGAGCAAGAGGUACUGCAGUAUCUACCUUACUAGGAUGGGAGAGAAAAAGAUGGAUAGCUAUGUGGCUACUAAGGGUUUCCUGAGAUCUUGAGAAGAAUUAAGAGACCUCUGUGAUGCACAUCACAUCAUAUCUGGAUCUGAGCAUCCUCACAAGCACCAGUUAAGUCCAACAAUAUCCCUGUGUGGUCGGUAAGAAUUUUUAUUCCCAUUUUACAGAUGUGGUAAUUGAGAAAUUUAAGUGCCCAUGGUCACAGAGGAGCUGGCGGAGCUAGGAAUAGAAUCUGAGUCUAACUCUUCUGCCUUAAGUACAAAUCAUCUUUCCUCUCAAACUGAGAUCGAGUUCAGAAAAGCACAUGAAAGUUUGGAGGCUUAUCUAAACUGCCCGAUUCAGCAAAACCGGGCUGGAAAUCUUACCAGAACAGUGGUAUUUUUAUCCUUUAAUUUCCAGUCCUGGCCAGAGUCCAGAAGUUCAGAGUUGUGAAAAAAAAAUUAUAACCUCAAUUUAUCAAACUUCUUUAAAAAAAAGUUGUGCAGGACUUCUUUACCCAUCCUGCUGGUUUAAACUUCCGUGGGCCAAAUGUAUCCCUGGUACAAGUGGGUAAAACUCCAUGGAUUUCAAUGGAAGUUGUGCCCAGGUACACUGGAGUUGAAUACAGCCUUACAUGAUGAGAUGAGAGAAUUUUGUUUAUAGUCAAAUUCCAUAUUGAUAGAACUUGAAUUAGACAUGGUCAAGCUUUGAGCAUCGACAGCUGGCUGCAGCCAGUUCCUUUCGUUUUACAAUUGUCCACCAAAGAACGCAAUUACAGCAGAAAGAUUCUCAGGUUCUUAUUUGUGUGUGAAGAGAUGAGUGCUGUGCCUUCCUCUGAGUAUGGCGCUGGUCGUUGUUGGAGAUAAGGGGUGACAUUUUGGCCCCACCGAAGUCAGUGACACAACUUCCAUUGACUUGAAUAGGGUCAGGAUUUCACCCAGAGUGCCUACAUCUGUUGGACAAGACUGCUCUAAGCCAGCAAUUCUUGUGUUUCUACUGGUUUCUCAAGCAUACCAGCUGCCAGUGUUCAGCGCAAUUUUAGAUCAAUGUUGUGGAUGGAUAGUAAAAGCAAAAUUGGGUUAAACCCAGAGGUAAGUAAUGCCAUUGACUUUCAGGUGCCUGGCCUACAGUAUAUUACACAGAAUCAAACAUACUAAGGGAGAUUCACAUCAAGGAUGGGGGAGAGCCAGGUCUUGUGAGAGCGCUACUUUUGAAAAAUCUUAUUAACAUUCCAUUAAAAUUUCCAAAAUCGACUGCACACAGGUGCAGGUGUCACAUGAGGAAUCAGUAGCAUUUCUCUAGAGAGAAUUUUCCAAAAGAAGUACCCUUGCAUGGGGAUUGCCAAGUCUUGACAGGGAUUUUCAUAAAAUCACAUUGUAGUUGAAGUUUGGCAUGAGCACUUUUGUUUGUUCGUUUUGUUUGUGUUAGAUAACACUACUCUUCCAGCAGGUGUAAUCCAGCUUGUCGAAAACUUGAAUUCUGGGACAGAAGAGAGCAAAUGAACAGUAAAGAUUUAAUUAAAUGCCAGUUGCUCAUUUUAUAUCCAUAUUUCUCACUUGAUACUUUUUUGUGGCACCUUCUCCUAAAUUUAUUGUAAUUGGGAACAGAACAGGCUAGAAUAAACUAAAUUGGGAACUCUCAUGCUUCAGUUGCUCUUGUUUUACAUGAUUGAUUUUUUUUUUUCCAUUUGAAAAUGGCUUACUUGGGCAAAUCAUAAGCAAAAUCCAGUGUUUUUCAGUUUCACGUCAGUGGAAACUUUAUUCUCUCUGUACUUAAAAAUGUGAUGAAAAUGAGAUGCAACGCUUUAGUGGUAGAGGCCUUGGUUUGCCUUUUCCUUCACUUUGAAACUAAUGUGCUUUUUUUCACUUCCUUUUCCCUGUCAAAUCUACUUCACAAGAAAUCAGGAAUACAUUUCACAUCAAAUUCAACAGAACUAUCGCCACCUCUGAAUUUAGAGAAGCAGAAGUCUAUAUAUAGCAUUAUUUCUUCUGGUUCUCUAUUGAAUAUUUUCUACUUUCUGCGGGUUGAUUCUCUUUCCUGUGUAUCUGCUUUACCUUUUACAGCACCAGUCCUUUCCCCUACUGUUGAAGCUUCUUUUGGCAAGCAGGGUACUGGCUACAAUCUCUUAGGAGUGUAAGAAUGGCUGUACUGGGUCAGACUGAUGGUCCAUCUAGCCCAGGAUCCUGUCUUCUGACAGUGGGUGGUGUCAGAUACUUCAGAAGCAAUGAACAGAACAAGGCAACUUCAAAUGAUCAUUCCCAUAUUGUCCAGUCCCAGCUUCUAGCAGUCAGUGGUUUAGGGACACCCAGAGCAAGGGGUUGUCUCUGACCGUCUUGGCUAAUAGCCAUUGAUCGAGCUAUCCUUCAUGAAUUUAUCUAAUUCUUGUUUGAAUCCAGUUAUAUUUUGACCCUCAACAUCCCCUGUCAAUGAGUUCUAUGGAUUGAUUGUGAAUUGUGUGAAAGUUUACAUCCUUAUGUUUGUUUUAAACCUGCAUCCUAUUAAUUUCAUUGGGUGAGCCCUGGGUCUUGUGUUAUGUGAAGGGGUAAACACUUCCUUAUUCUCUUUACCUACACCAUUCAUGAUUUUAUAGACCUCUGUCAUGUCCCUUGUUAGUUGUGUCUUUUCUAAGCUGAGCAGUCCCAGUCUUUUAAUCUCUCCUCAUAUGGAGCCCUAAUAAUUUUUGUUGCCCUUCUCUCUACCUUUUCCAAUUCUAAUAUAUCUUUUUUGAGCUGGGGCAACCAGAAUUGC